rnacentral:rRNA from 1 species
GUAACGGCGAGUGAAGCGGCAACAGCUCAAAUUUGAAAUCUGGCCCUCGGGUCCGAGUUGUAAUUUGUAGAGGAUGCUUUUGGCGCGGUGCCUUCCGAGUUCCCUGGAACGGGACGCCUUAGAGGGUGAGAGCCCCGUACGGUUGGACACCAAGCCUCUGUAAAGCUCCUUCGACGAGUCGAGUAGUUUGGGAAUGCUGCUCUAAAUGGGAGGUAAAUUUCUUCUAAAGCUAAAUAUUGGCCAGAGACCGAUAGCGCACAAGUAGAGUGAUCGAAAGAUGAAAAGCACUUUGAAAAGAGGGUUAAAUAGCACGUGAAAUUGUUGAAAGGGAAGCGUUUGCGACCAGACCUUUUCCUAGCGGAUCAUCCGGUGUUCUCACCGGUGCACUUCGCUAGGUUUAGGCCAGCAUCGGUUUCUGUAGGGGGAUAAAAGCCCUGGGAACGUAGCUCCUCCGGGAGUGUUAUAGCCCUCUGCAUAAUACCCUUACAGGGACCGAGGACCGCGCUUUUGGCAAGGAUGCUGGCGUAAUGGUCGUCAACGACCCGUCUUGACC